AUCCUUUUGUAGUUCAUAAAUACAACGACUGGGUGUUCACAUGUGUGCUUGAAACAUGUCUUCCUCAAACCUUGUCACAACACCAGCACAUCAGCCGGCUGACA
ensembl:snoRNA